AGGAACCUAUUCCAAUCCAAACUGUCGUACCUGAUACUCUGGAGAUUAAAGAGAGUGUUGAUGAAGCUAAAACAGAUGCCAAUGAAGACUGUGAAUUGGUUACAGACCUGGAAAUUACAUCUGAACACAAGCCGGAUGCUGUUACACCUGGUGGUAAGAGACAUCUUCCUGCUGCAUCAAGUGAAUCUAUUGAUGGGGAACUGUCAUCAAACAAGCUGAAGAAGAUAAUUAAAAUGGAGAAGAUUGAUUAGGAAUAUUUUUAUUUUGUGUGUGUUUUGCUUAGGUGUUUGUUACAAAAACUGAAUGUUAGUUUCCUUUGCUUUUAAUCAUGUGUGUGAUUUCAUUUUCUGUAAUAAUUA